GCUUGUCUCAAAGAUUAAGCCAUGCAUGUCUAAGUAUAAGCAACUUUGUACUGUGAAACUGCGAAUGGCUCAUUAAAUCAGUUAUAGUUUAUUUGAUGGUUUUUGCUACAUGGAUAACUGUGGUAAUUCUAGAGCUAAUACAUGCAUUCAAGCCCCGACUUCUGGAAGGGGUGUAUUUAUUAGAUAAAAAUCAACUUUGUUGGUGAAUCAUAAUAACUUCUCGGACCGCAUGGCCUCGUGCUGGCGGUGCUUCAUUCAAAUAUCUGCCCUAUCAACUGUCGAUGGUAGGAUAGAGGCCUACCAUGGUUGCAACGGGUAACGGGGAAUAAGGGUUCGAUUCCGGAGAGGGAGCCUGAGAAACGGCUACCACAUCCAAGGAAGGCAGCAGG
rnacentral:rRNA from 1 species